rnacentral:rRNA from 1 species
AGAGUUUGAUCAUGGCUCAGAUUGAACGUUGGCGGCAGGCCUAAUACAUGCAAGUCGAGCGGAAACGAUGGGAGCUUGCUCUCAGGCGUCGAGCGGCGGACGGGUGAGUAACGCGUAGGAAUCUACCCAGUAGCGGGGGAUAGCCCGAGGAAACUCGGAUUAAUACCGCAUACGCCCCACGGGGGAAAGGCCGGGAUCUUCGGACCGGUCACUAUUGGAGGAGCCUGCGUAGGAUUAGCUUGUUGGUGAGGUAAAGGCUCACCAAGGCUACGAUCCUUAGCUGGUCUGAGAGGACGAUCAGCCACACUGGAACUGAGACACGGUCCAGACUCCUACGGGAGGCAGCAGUAGGGAAUAUUGUGCAAUGGGCGAAAGCCUGACACAGCCAUGCCGCGUGUGUGAAGAAGGCCCUAGGGUUGUAAAGCACUU